GGUCAUUAAAGAAAGGCAGGAGAGAACUUUUGAUGCUGCUUUUCAGGCAUCCCAUUCAGUAGCAGCAGAGAACAAGAAAAUCCAACAAGGAAACAGCGUAGUACACGUUAACAGCUUUAAUUGGAGAACGGUUCUGCUUUUUUUUUUUCCCCAAGCAGCGAGAGGAAAAGAUCCUUUGACCGAGUCAUGUGAUACUCAUCACGUGACUUGCAGUGACCCGUGGAAAAGGAAGAGGAGGAAAAAAAAAAAAAAAGCAAA